rnacentral:rRNA from 1 species
CGUAAACGUUGGGAACUAGUUGUGGGGUCCAUUCCACGGAUUCCGUGACGCAGCUAACGCAUUAAGUUCCCCGCCUGGGGAGUACGGCCGCAAGGCUAGAACUCAAAGGAAUUGACGGGGACCCGCACAAGCGGCGGAGCAUGCGGAUUAAUUCGAUGCAACGCGAAGAACCUUACCAAGACUUGACGUAUACGAGAACGGGCCAGAAAUGGUCAACUCUUUGGACACUCGUAAACAGGUGGUGCAUGGUUGUCGUCAGCUCGUGUCGUGAGAUGUUGGGUUAAGUCCCGCAACGAGCGCAACCCUCGUUCUAUGUUGCCAGCACGUAAUGGUGGGAACUCAUGGGAUACUGCCGGGGUCAACUCGGAGGAAGGUGGGGAUGACGUCAAAUCAUCAUGCCCCUUAUGUCUUGGGCUUCACGCAUGCUACAAUGGCCGGUACAAAGGGCUGCAAUACCGCGAGGUGGAGCGAAUCCCAAAAAGCCGGUCCCAGUUCGGAUUGAGGUCUGCAACUCGACCUCAUGAAGUCGGAGUCGCUA